AGUUUGAUCCUGGCUCAGGAUGAACCCUUGCGGCGUGCCUAACACAUGCAAGUCGAGCGAUUCUCUUCGGUGAAGAGCGGCGGACGGGUGAGUAACGCGUGGGUAACCUGCCUCAUACACAUGGAUAACAUACCGAAAGGUAUGCUAAUACAAGAUGAUAUAAGAGAUUCGCAUGGAUUUCUUAUCAAAGCUCCGGCGGUAUGAGAUGGACCCGCGUCUGAUUAGCUAGUUGGUAAGGUAACGGCUUACCAAGGCGACGAUCAGUAGCCGACCUGGGAGGGUGAUCGGCCGCAUUGGAACUGAGACACGGUCCAAACUCCUACGGGAGGCAGCAGUGGGGAAUAUUGCACAAUGGGCGAAAGCCUGAUGCAGCAACGCCGCGUGAGCGAUGAAGGCCUUCGGGUCGUAAAGCUCUGUCCUCAAGGAAGAUAAUGACGGUACUUGAGGAGGAAGCCCCGGCUAACUACGUGCCAGCAGCCGCGGUAAUACGUAGGGGGCUAGCGUUAUCCGGAUUUACUGGGCGUAAAGGGUGCGUAGGCGGGAUUUUAAGUCAGGUGUGAAAGACCGUGGCUCAACCACGGGGUUGCACAUGAAACUGGAAUUCUUGAGGGCAGGAGAGGAAAGUGGAAUUCCUGGUGUAGCGGUGAAAUGCGUAGAAAUCAGGAGGAACACCGGUGGCGAAGGCGACUUUCUGGACUGACCCUGACGCUGAGGUGCGAAAGCGUGGGUAGCAAACAGAAGUAGAUACCCUGGUAGUCCACGCUGUAAACGAUGGAUACUAGGUGUGGGAGGUAUCGACCCCCUUCCGUGCCGCAGCAAACGCAAUAAGUAUCCCGCCUGGGGAGUACGGUCGCAAGGCUGAAACUCAAAGGAAUUGACGGGGGCCCGCACAAGCGGAGGAACAUGUGGUUUAAUUCGAUGAUACGCGAGGAACCUUACCCGGGCUCGAACGGUGCAUGAAUAUACGAGAGAUUGUAUAGUCCUUCGGGACAUGUAUCGAGGUGCUGCAUGGUUGUCGUCAGCUCGUGCCGUGAGGUGUCGGCUUAAGUGCCAUAACGAGCGCAACCCUUGUCAUUAGUUGCCAUCAGGUCAAGCUGGGGACUUUAAUGAGACUGCCACCGUAAGGUGUGAGGAAGGGGGGGAUGACGUCAAAUCAGCACGGCCCUUAUGUCCGGGGCGACACACGUGUUACAAUGGGAGGUACAGAGGGCAGCUAUCCGGUGACGGAAUGCUAAUCUCCAAAACCUUUCUCAGUUCGGAUUGGAGUCUGCAACUCGACUCCAUGAAGGUGGAUUCGCUAGUAAUCGCGCAUCAGCCAUGGCGCGGUGAAUACGUUCCCGGGCCUUGUACUCACCGCCCGUCA
rnacentral:rRNA from 1 species